rnacentral:rRNA from 1 species
GGGGGGGGGGGGGGGGGGGGGGGGGGGGGGGGGGGGGGGCGGGGGGGCGGGGGGGGGGGGCUCGGGGGGGGGGCGGGGGGCGGGCGGGGGGGGAAGACGGCGGGAUGUACUUUUUCGUGGGGGGUAACGUAGGGAAACUGACGCUAAUACCGCAUACGACCUACGGGUGAAAGCAGGGGAUCUUCGGACCUUGCGCGAUUGAAUGAGCCGAUGUCGGAUUAGCUAGUUGGCGGGGUAAAGGCCCACCAAGGCGACGAUCCGUAGCUGGUCUGAGAGGAUGAUCAGCCACACUGGAACUGAGACACGGUCCAGACUCCUACGGGAGGCAGCAGUGGGGAAUAUUGGACAAUGGGCGCAAGCCUGAUCCAGCCAUACCGCGUGGGUGAAGAAGGCCUUCGGGUUGUAAAGCCCUUUUGUUGGGAAAGAAAAGCAGCAGGUUAAUACCCCGCUGUUCUGACGGUACCCAAAGAAUAAGCACCGGCUAACUUCGU